AUCUACAUGACGCUGGCGACGUUGUUCCUUGCGCAGGCGACCAACACGCACCUGACGAUCUGGCAGGAGCUUGGCAUUCUCGGUAUCGCGAUCAUCACCUCGAAAGGCGCAUCAGGCGUGACCGGCGCAGGCUUUAUCACGCUGGCCGCCACGCUUGCGAUCGUGCCGGAUAUUCCGAUCGCGUCGCUGGCCAUCCUGGUCGGUAUCGACAAGUUCAUGAGCGAGUGCCGCGCG
rnacentral:misc_RNA from 1 species